AUUUGAAAUCUCCGGUGCUUGCACCGGCGAGUUGUAGUUGCGAGAAGCACUUUCUAGGCGGAUCGGUGGUGCCUAAGUUGCUUGGAACAGCAUGUCGCAGAGGGUGACAACCCCGUCUGUGGCGCGACCGGCCGCUGACGAUGUGCUUUCGAAGAGUCGGGUUGUUUGGGAAUGCAGCCCAAAAUGGGUGGUAAACUCCAUCUAAAGCUAAAUACUGGCGUGAGACCGAUAGCGAACAAGUACCGUGAGGGAAAGAUGAAAAGAACUUUGAAAAGAGAGUUAAAAAGUACGUGAAACCGUUGAAAGGGAAACGAAUGGACUCAGCAAUGCGCCGUUUGAGAUUCAGCCGGUGGGCGGGAUCGGCGUGGGGUUUGCGGAUCUGAAUGGACCGCGGCUUCUCGCUCGUUUCUCCUCGCCGUCGCACUUCUCUUGGGCGCGCGUCAACGUCGGUUGGGACUGGGUCUGAAAGGUACCGGGAAGGUAGGUCUGGACCUUCGGGUUGGGACUGUUACAGCCCGGUUCUCUCAUGGCUCGGGCCUGACCGAGGAGUCGCAGCGCAUGCCUCUUGUGGCUAGGGUGCCGUCCUUCCGGCCGGUUGUCGAACGUGGUGGACUGCUUGCAGUGCUCCGCGACUGCUGCCGGUCGUUGGGGUGGUGAUCU
rnacentral:rRNA from 1 species